UGCCUUCGGUGGACCGGUCAGCUGAAAUACAUUCACGCUAUGGGGGCUGCUCUCCUUUCGAGAAGAGGCGAGUUCCGAUUUGGUAGGUGACCUUUGCCGGUUGCAUGCCUUCGUUGCCCGCUACGCCUUCCCAUCUGCGUUGUGCAGGACGCCUUUUGGCUUUCGACCUGAGGUCAGGCAAGAACACCCGCUGAACUUAA
rnacentral:misc_RNA from 1 species